rnacentral:sRNA from 1 species
GUCACUUACAAGGCAUUUUAUGGUGUAUC